rnacentral:rRNA from 1 species
AGUAAUGUAUGGGGAUCUGCCUGAUGGCGGGGGAUAACUACUGGAGACGGUAGCUAAUACCGCAUAAUGUACUGCGGACCAAAGCGGGGGACCUCCGGGCCUCGCGCCAUCAGAUGAACCCAUAUGGGAUUAGCUAGUAGGUGGGGUAACGGCUCACCUAGGCGACGAUCCCUAGCUGGUCUGAGAGGAUGACCAGCCACACUGGAACUGAGACACGGUCCAG